rnacentral:miRNA from 1 species
CACUGUUGUGCUGGGUGUACCA